rnacentral:sRNA from 1 species
UUUGCACCCCGACCUGAGUGGAGCUCUUUUUUUCUUGCCGCUGAACGGCUAGAUUGGUUUGCGGCAAGAAAAAAAAGCGGGAACGGAGGGCGGAAAAGGUG